rnacentral:rRNA from 1 species
GACGAACGCUGGCGGCGUGCUUAACACAUGCAAGUCGAACGGAAAGGCCCUGCUUUUGUGGGGUGCUCGAGUGGCGAACGGGUGAGUAACACGUGAGUAACCUGCCCUUGACUUUGGGAUAACUUCAGGAAACUGGGGCUAAUACCGGAUAGGAGCUCCUGCUGCAUGGUGGGGGUUGGAAAGUUUCGGCGGUUGGGGAUGGACUCGCGGCUUAUCAGCUUGUUGGUGGGGUAGUGGCUUACCAAGGCUUUGACGGGUAGCCGGCCUGAGAGGGUGACCGGCCACAUUGGGACUGAGAUACGGCCCAGAAUCGUACGGGAGGCAGCAGUGGGGAAUAUUGCACAAUGGGCGGAAGCCUGAUGCAGCAACGCCGCGUGCGGGAUGACGGCCUUCGGGUUGUAAACCGCUUUCGCCUGUGACGAAGCGUGAGUGACGGUAAUGGGUAAAGAAGCACCGGCUAACUACGUG